ensembl:ncRNA Y67D8C.17 ncRNA
GAGAUUUUGAGAAAAGUGGGUUGGCUGCGAUAUUGAAAUUGAAACUUUUCUUAUGUCUUCUAGACUCCGCCCCAAUAUUAGAUAUUCUUAAUGUCUUACAUUUUGAAAUUGUUUGCAUUCAUAGAAAAUUACUCUAGUUUGCUCUCCAAC